GUAGAAACUAAUUUCAUUUAUUUCAAGAAUAAUCAAGCAUCCUCUGGGUUUUUUUUUUUUAUUUUUUUUUCUCUUUUAUGAGAUGUCAUGAAGUGUUCAAAAAAUCCUCUGCACGCUAAACCCAUAACCAUAUCAGAUGGAAGGCAAUGAGAACACCACCCAAAAGGUGCACAAGAGCAGAUUACUACAAAAUUUUGGAGGUCGAUUAUGAUGCAACAGAUGAGAAGAUAAGAUUAAAUUACCUAAAGCUUGCACUGGUUAGUGGUGCAUCUACUAUGAGCAGCUUCUUAUAAGUGGCAUCCUGAUAAACAUGAGGGUGAUAGUGCUGUUACUGCUAAAUUUCAAGAGAUCAAUGAAGCUUACAGAGGCAAUCCUUAGUCAUGAUAAGCAUGAAAGUCCACAUUCCCCAUGUGAUAUGAUGCAUAUUGCUUCUAGUGCAUCAAUCAGCGAAAUUUAGUCUGUGGUUCUUGCCUCUUUACAAGGAUUACACUUUACAGUGUUGAGUGAUCCAGCUGAACGCUCUGACUACAAUUUAACUGGAAUACAUGAGAUCAAUAAGUACACUUUGCAGGAAUAUCUUGCCAGAUUUAAAGGAAUGAUAAUCACCUGCAAUGGGCUUGGUAUCAGUCAUAAAUCAAUAUGGUAAUCUUUUCAUGACUUUCUGUCAUGAUUUUAGGUUCAAAGAGUGCUUACUUGAAAAUGGAAGAGCAGAAUAUGGUAAUCCUUUCAUGACUUUCUGUCUUGGUUUAUCACUUAAUCUUUUUCGUUCUUAGUCUUGAUGGUUAAUAGUGCGGCACUUUUAGUUUAGCAAACAGAUAAACUUGAAUCUAUGCCUCUAUCACCAAACCAAUAAACCUUUAUUUCCUAGUUUAUGCAGUUCCUUUUUAUCCUGCUUUGUUACAAAAAUUUAAAAAGGAACGGAAAGUAAACUUGGGAACUGGCUAGAAAAUGCUUUCUUAACCUAUUAAUGCUUCUCAUAGUUAAUUAUUGCCAAGGUUUGGCAUGAGGAAAUGGAUUUGAAUGGACUAUAAGUUAGUUAUUGAUGCGUAUUGAUCUGAACCAAACAGCUUUUAAGAGCAAACGAAAAAAAAAUAAAUAAAUAAAUAGAAGAAAAAGAAGAAGAAGAAGCAAGCUUGUAAGAGGACACUAUAGCAGAAACGUGGUUUAGGUUCCAUUCAAUUGACGCUUGCCCAGAUUAAAGCUGUUUUCAUUUUCUUUAGACAACUAAUCUAGAGCUGUGGAUUGAAUUGAACUGAGGUUCUUCAUUAGGAGUUAUCUCACUGUUUCUGAUUAUUCUCAUGAUACCAAAGUCGACUUAAGCUAGCCCAGCUUAUUCAAAAUAUUUGGUGGCUCCUUUGACCCAUCUGUGAAGGGUCAAGAUUAAGGGAACAGCUGGAACACCAUAAAAAAUUUUCACUGUAUACUUUACAUUAGCACUCACAAUCUUUAUAAUACUGCAGGACACAGCAACUGACUGAAGCCAAUGAAUUUGUAGAACAAUAAGAAGUCCAACAAAUUGGGUCACUCCGGAUCCUCACUCCUUUCCAAUUCCACGAACUCUCCACCCUCCAAUCUCUGCCUUUGCUCACCCCGAAUAUAAAAAUAACCUAUUGGAUUUUGAUUCCGCUUCAAUCUCUGAAUCCUUCGUCUUGCUUCCAAAUCAAUUACCAGGCAAUGGUAGUAUUCAAAAUGAGUCCCAUAAGAGGAAGAGUUCGCUAGCUUGUGCGCAAUUGAAGGGAAGGAAGGAUUAAGGAGCGAAAAGUGGAUCCUCUGGUGGAUCAAAUCUUCAAUGUAGGUAGUGAGGUUGCUACUGUUUUAUAUGUGUUGCUUGAUAUUGGGUGGUCAAUUUGUGCAGAAUCUGAAGCUGUUUAUGUUAACAUAUGGAGCGAUUGUACGCUAAUUGCUUACAAAUCUAGAGGAGGUUGAAGAAGUUAACAAAUAGCUAAAUCAAAUUUAUGUGAAGCUUAUAUUUUGUGUCCAUUGUUUUUGGUAGAGCUGUGACACGUUAAGGAGAGGUUAUGAACCAAGUCUGUGGCUGUUGGCCUUUAUUUUAGGUGGUUGGUUGUCGAGAAAUUGAAAGAAAAUAUGAAUUUUUGUGUUUGGCUGCACAGAAAUUGAAGAAAAUUUGAAUGCUUA